AUUCAGUUCGCUUGUUUCGCACCGUGAAACUUGCGUGCGAAUGUUGCAGCCACAAUUAAUGGGAAAGCGAUCGUACAGAAAUAUACCUUGACGGGUUUGGCUGAACCUUUAAUCUUUCCCCAUGAAACUGCUUCAUCAGGUUGUGCUCCAGAAUCACUGCCAUCAAACUCUUGGGCUGUGUUGAUAUAGACUGCAUAAUCUGCACCAUUGCGAAACAUAUUGGCGUUGCAUAUAUGAUGCUUGGGUAGACCUCCACCAAGAACUAUGAUCCCUGUCUUCCUUGGGGUUGCAUGAAUGGCUUCCCCAUUCAUCAAUCUUAUAUCUUGUACAAUGUCAAUAAUUAGGCCAGGAUUGCGGACUGCAUGACAGAAUAGCAUGUCUCCAAGCGAUCCAUCAGUCAAUGCUGGGCAGUAUACAGGAAUAUUGUUCU
rnacentral:sRNA from 1 species